UGAGACAGCCCAGGACCCCGGACGGGCACCCCCCCCACUGCCCAACUGCAGUGCAUGAUCUGUUUGACUCACCCCCGGCCAGAUUGUCCUGCAGUUGGGGCAAGACAGAAACCCCUCUCUGUUCUCCCAUUGCAAAGAUGGCCAAGAUGAUGACCCCCUCACCGAAUGGACAGGCCCGGACAGCUGAUGAUGUGGGCUGCAAGCCUCCUUCUCCUGAGAAGAUGACCCGAACACUGACUCCAUCACAAGCCCAGUGGCCCUGGUUCAUGACAGCUGCAUCCACCUCAGCUGCUUCACCAACAGACAAGG